GCCGAGGUAGCAUAGUGGUAGUGCAUUUCCUUGGUAAGGAAAAGGUCGUGGGUUCAAUUCCCGCCCUCGGCUCCA
rnacentral:tRNA from 1 species